AUAUGACUACUGGCAGGAUCAACCAGGUAGCAUUCCUUCGCGACGCCGACGCCCGCAUGAGACCCGGCAGGCCGUGAGGCCGCGGCCUCAAGACGGGCACGGCAGUCGUUCGUGUCGAUGGACAAAUGCGUUGCUUGGGCAAACGGAGCUAAUAAAUAGACCCCGCACCCGCACAUAACAUUCUGCAUCCGAGAGCACGGGCAGUGCACCUCAUGGGCCGAGGCAGCGACGCGGCUGGGCGAAGCGUGCCGGGAACACGAGGUUUGCCUGAUGUCCACCCCAAAACCCGUGAGGGCAGGGGGCGGAAAGGGACUAACGAAACCAUCGGAUUCCUUUCGAUAGGUAAGCAACACAG
rnacentral:misc_RNA from 1 species